AGGACGAACGCUGGCGGCGUGCUUCAUACAUGCAAGUCGAACGAGAAACUAACUCGGUUGGUGGAAAGUGGCGGACGGGUGAGUAAAAUGUAGAGAAUCUGCCCUAGAGAGAGGGACAACAGUUGGAAACGACUGCUAAUACCUCAUAUGCGCGUAGCUGAGAUGCUAUUCGUGAAAACUCCGGUGCUCUGGGAUGAGUCUGCAUCUGAUUAGCUAGUUGGGGGUGUAAUGGACCACCAAGGCGACGAUCAGUAGCUGGUUUGAGAGGAUGAUCAGCCACAAUGGGACUGAGACACGGCCCAUACUCCUACGGGAGGCAGCAGUAGGGAAUUUUGCGCAAUGGGCGAAAGCCUGACGCAGCAACGCCGCGUGAUUGAAUAAGCCCUUCGGGGUGUAAAGAUCUGUCAGUAGGGAUGAAACUUGACGGUACCUACAGAGGAAGCAUCGGCUAACUCCGUGCCAGCCGCAGC
rnacentral:rRNA from 1 species